UAUUCUUUCUCGAUCUAUGGUCUACAGCAGUGGUUUUCUUGGAUAGGUUCCCGGUGAUAUGGUACUCUUGGAAACAUAGGUGGCCUACGGCAGGUUAAACAAAUGCAAACUGCUUUAAGUGAAGGGCAUUUAUAGUGUGUGACUACAGCUUUGCUUUGGUUGAACGAAUGCCGGUUCUGGAUGAAGCAACUUAUAGUGGAAUGAGAGUUGGUUCAUUGCCAAUAACUGCUUCAACCUCCAAGGUUUUCAACAAUGAUACGCAGAGAUACCCAUAAAAGCCUAGCGUACUGGUGUUGGAUAUGAUACUGGAUACUGGAUGGAUGCUUCA